CCCUAGCCCUGAUGGGAGGGAAAAUCCUUUUGUGGUGGGGUUCACCACAAAAGAUUGGAAGGACAGCAGGAAAUAGC
rnacentral:sRNA from 1 species